rnacentral:rRNA from 1 species
UACAGAGGUCUCAAGCGUUGUUCGGAUUCAUUGGGCGUAAAGGGUGUGUAGGUGGCGCCGUAAGUCGGGUGUGAAAUCUCGGGGCUUAACUCCGAAACUGCAUUCGAUACUGCGGUGCUUGAGGACUGGAGAGGAGACUGGAAUUCAUGGUGUAGCAGUGAAAUGCGUAGAGAUCAUAAGGAAGACCAGUGGCGAAGGCGGGUCUCUGGACAGUUCCUGACACUGAGACACGAAGGCCAGGGGAGCAAACGGG